GUGUUACUGCGAAGGGGGGACGGAGAAGGCUAUGUUAGCCGGGCGACGGUUGUCCCGGUUUAAGCAUGUAGGCGGAGGUUCCAGGUAAAUCCGGUACCUUUUAACGCUGAGGUGUGAUGACGAGGCACUACGGUGCUGAAGUAACAAAUGCCCUGCUUCCAGGAAAAGCCUCUAAGCAUCAGGUAACAUUGAAUCGUACCCCAAACCGACACAGGUGGUCAGGUAGAGAAUACCAAGGCGCUUGAGAGAACUCGGGUGAAGGAACUAGGCAAAAUGGUGCCGUAACUUCGGGAGAAGGCACGCUGAUAUGUAGGUGAAGCCCCUGCGGGUGGAGCUGAAAUCAGUCGAAGAUACCAGCUGGCUGCAACUGUUUAUUAAAAACACAGCACUGUGCAAACACGAAAGUGGACGUAUACGGUGUGACGCCUGCCCGGUGCCGGAAGGUUAAUUGAUGGG
rnacentral:rRNA from 1 species